rnacentral:rRNA from 1 species
GACGAACGCUGGCGCGUGCCUAAUACAUGCCAGUAGAACGCUGAAGAGAGGAGCUUGCUCUUCUUGGAUGAGUUGCGAACGGGUGAGUAACGCGUAGGUAACCUGCCUUGUAGCGGGGGAUAACUAUUGGAAACGAUAGCUAAUACCGCAUAACAAUGGAUGACACAUGUCAUUUAUUUGAAAGGGGCAAUUGCUCCACUACAAGAUGGACCUGCGUUGUAUUAGCUAGUAGGUGAGGUAAUGGCUCACCUAGGCGACGAUACAUAGCCGACCUGAGAGGGUGAUCGGCCACACUGGGACUGAGACACGGCCCAGACUCCUACGGGAGGCAGCAGUAGGGAAUCUUCGGCAAUGGGGGCAACCCUGACCGAGCAACGCCGCGUGAGUGAAGAAGGUUUUCGGAUCGUAAAGCUCUGUUGUAAGUCAAGAACGGGUGCGAGAGUGGAAAGUUCACACUGUGACGGUAGCUUACCAGAAAGGGACGGCUAACUACGUG